AAAAAAAAAAAAAAACAAUAAAAUUAUUAUCAUUAUCAAAUAGUAUUAAAAAUCAAAAACCUUUGUGUCCCUUUCUCUCUCUUGUCUUUCUCUCACUUCACCCCUCCACGAUUUCCUCUUCUUCCUUUGUACUACCACCUCCAUCUUUUCCUUUCUUUUUUCCCAAAGAUAUCACCUUUUUCUUUCACACUCCAAACCCUUUUGUUUUCCCACCUCAAAUUUCCAUCUACAAUCAAGAUUCUCUCAAUUCUUAA